AGAGCACACCCUGGAGUGGAGUCAUCGAAGGACUGUUUGACUUACCGACUGGACGGACUCACUGCUUCUGUCCAUUGGAGUUGGGAAGGAAUUCCAUCCAGAGAGAUUCUAAAGAGAGUCAGCACGAGGACAGAUGAGGAGAGAAACGGCUGUGAAUGGAGCUUGACUUUCCCUGGAGUCCUGACUUUUUUCAGAAUAAAUGCUCCUGUAGAGCCUGAUAUUCUGCAAGUUACAAGUGGCUGCUUGCCCUUCUCAUUUGCACCCCAGCUGACUCCUAGAUAAAGUAGGUGGAACAUUUUAUGUGACGAUUAUUGCCAGGGAACUUUAUCUGUUGCUAACAGGCAUGGUGAAAACAUUUGCACAAUAUGACAAGAAUGACAGCAUUCGAUUAGAGAGGGCUCACCUUAAGCCGGGUCAUGUUCCAGUGCUUUAGAAAGAGGACUACCGCUAUCAGUGCUUUCUCUCCUAUAACCACCGCCCUCCAAGAUGAAAAUAAAAAUGGGAAAGACCUGCAUAAUAUUUGUACAAUGCAGUGGUUUUAGUCUCAGGUAAACGUUCCUCAAUGAUUCUAAUUCUCCCCUCCCUCUUUUUUGCCAUGACCCAUUGGGAAUUACUGGUAUUACAC
rnacentral:lncRNA from 10 species